GACCAUGGCGGUGUAGGUGGAAGCAGCGGUGGAGGAGGAGGAUGAGGUAGCCAACACUGUUUUUUAUGUUAUUUUUUUUUUUUUAAUUGUGGUAGCCCCCAAAAUAUUGGGACAUAUAAAAAAGACAACGCAGUUCUGCAGAGUAGCUGUUGACAUUAUAGUUGCGCAGGCACUUUGUUGACUCUAGAGAACCUCGGGCCAAUCGCACAUCCCCGUGACGCCAACUUUGCAUUCGGAUAUCAUCCAUAUCAACUUUUGAUGCCAGUUUCUGUGCCUUCCAUGGUGACCACAGAUAAUGGGAAAUCAGGGGUCCAUUCAGUACAAGGACCCUAAGAAACGGCUACCACAUGCAAGGAAUGCAGCAGGCGUGCAAAUGACCCACUCCCGACGUGGGAAGGUAG